rnacentral:rRNA from 1 species
AUUGAACGCUGGCGGCAGGCCUAACACAUGCAAGUCGAACGAGUGGCGGACGGGUGAGCCAUGUCUGGCAAACUGCCUGAUGGAGCGUGAUAACUACUGGAAACGUUAGCUAAUACCGCAUACUAUCAGCUGUGCCCAGAUGGGAUUAGCUUGUUGGUGGGGUAACGGCUCACCAAGGCGACGAUCCCUAGCUGGUCCGCGAGGCUGCCCAGCCACACUGGAACUGAGACACGGUCCAGACUCCUACGGGAGGCAGCAGUGGAGAAUGUUGCGCAAUGGGCGCAAGCCUGGUGCAGCAAUGCCGAGUGUAUGAAGAAGGUCUUCGGGUUGUAAAGUACUUUCAGCGGGGAGGCGUUACCCGCAGAAGAAGCACCGGCUAACUCCGUGCCAGCAGCCGCGGUAAUUC